AUACAUUCAAUAUUGAAGCACAUGUCAAGUACAUGAAUAUGCAAUGGCCUGUAGUCACAGUGGAUAUAUAUCAAAAUGCUCCUCUCUAAGUUCAUUUUUGUAGCAGACUAACGAGUUUUAUGACAUGGAAUGGCUUUAUUACAGGUAAUAAACAGGUACAUUUUACGGUAAAUGUGAUAUUUUUACAAGCUAUUUUAUUGGCGCUUUUCCGCGGUUGAAACAAUGAUUGAUCGAUUAACAUUACAUAUGACAUGAUACGGAUUUCAGUAAGUUGUACUGUAUCUUUCAACAUACUUUCGGUAUUCAUUCAUGUUUAUUUUGCGUUGUAAAGCAGAAGAGAUGAUCGGUUCACGUGCGCUCUGCCUCUGUUUGAACUGAAGCGCUACAGCGAUGUUUCAGUCACACCACAGAGCGCCAAAAAAGAUCACGACAGCUCGAGAGAUAUCUAUGGUCUCCUGUCUAUGGGAAAGUAGCCCAUUUUCGAUUUAUUGUGCCUGAAAACUCACCCUGACACCCCCCACCCCCGAAAAAAAAAACUCUUCAGAUCAACACGAUUCACAUAAAUGAUAUAUUUUGACUCAACACGGCGAAUUUCACCGAAAAGCGACUAGUUUGCAGGUAGCCUAUGUAAUAUCACUACAGUGUGUCAUCAAGCCUGCUUGUGGCUUACUUUACUUUCACAAGUUCCAGCGCCAUCGUCUUCAUGUGCUGUUUGAUGUUGCUGGUCAAAAGGUGCAGUCAGCUGAGGAUACCUACAAAUUCUCAUUGCAGUAUUUAAAUAAAUUGCAAGAGAAGUUGCCCAUAUGGACAUUUUCAUGACAUGCCAAUCAUAAGUACAGCUAAUGAUGUGCCUGAAUCACGGAAAUGCAUGGAAAUCAUCUUCAAAAUGAAUUCUACCGAAUAAUAGUUUAUGAGUUCACACAGUAGCUAAAGGUUAUGUGUAUUUGGCAAGCUGUCCAAAGGGGAAGGCUCCGAGCUCGGAAUUUGGCUUGAACCCACAGUAUUCCCCCAAAACGCAAAUGAGCAAAGGACAGCCACCAGAUGGAUUGACAAUAAAUAAAAACUCAGAAUAUUAAUCUCAGUCAAAGGUAUCAAAUAGCCUUUGACAAAACAACAUAGCUGCUUGACAAAACAAAGUGCAACUUAGAAAAAGAAGCCAUUUGAGUCUACCGUUAAACCAACCCCCACCCUUCCCAUCACCAUUUGGAGAAACAUAACUAUUCCCAUGAACUAUGGGGGAUCAAACCAAGAACAGACCUUGAUCCGCCAGCCCCCCUUAAUACGAUCCGUGGAGUCAACAGAAGCCUGCACAUUACUGAAGCACCAACACUGGCCCUGUGCUGAUAUAAUGGCUAGUAAGUACGUCGAAAUAAAAAUAUAUAGGCUAUAUAUAACAAAUAAAUAAACAAAUAAAAAGAAAUACAUAAAAUAACAUAACUACAUUUCAAAAAAUAAAAAUUUACAACCUGGCAGAAACCAUAGCACACAACCCAACACGAAAUAAGAAAUACAAUGUGAACUGAGAGAGUUUCAAUAUUUGUGGAAAAAAAAUAAAUAAAUAAAGUGAGGUGAACACUUUAUAAAAGAACAAUCACCUGACAAAUUAGAGCAUAUCUUCUUCAAUUAAAGACAGAAAAUAUCCUGCUGAAGUUCACAGAGGGUUAGUAGCUGAAUGACAACUGAGAAAAUGUCUCGCUUCCUCUGGAGAGAACAGCAUUUUUUUGUUCACCCUUAUUGAGAAUGAGCUUUAGUGUUGCAGGAUAAAGAAGGAAAUUCUGGAUGCCAGCUUCCCUCAUUUCCCUCCGAAUUGGUACAAACGCACUUCUUUUUGCAGUCAUAGGAGAAAAGUCUGGAAAAAAGGGCAGCGUUGCUCCGUCGCUUUUUUUCACCGGCGUAUGAAGUCUGGCAGCCCGUUCCCUGUCCGAGUAUCGCAAAAGUUUAAAGAGAAAGACACGUGGUUUAGCGCGAUCUGUUCGUGUACACGCGAUGUGCUCGUUCCACUUCAAUCUCCCUACCCGCCAGAGAAGGGAGCCACGUCGGCAGCUAUCUUUUCGGAUCCUUUUUUCGGUCCUUUUCGGAUCCUUCAGGCAAUCCAACCAGACGCAGAUUGCUGCGCCUGUUCCAAUCUUGUAUAUCCACCACCUGCUGUUCAAGCGCGGCUAAUCGCACAUCAUGAUCUGCGAGUCGUUUUCACAUCUCACCUGUAAGAAGAUCGAGUUUAGAACAUAGCGACUGCACAACUGACAUGUGAGAAGCAAAUUCACUCCGUAUCGCCGUAAACUCUGUUUUUAGAAUGUCCUCAAAGAGUGCUACUCCAUUUUGUCAACCGUAUCACUCGUGCUCGGUGUCUUGGAUCUCUUCUUAAUCGGAGAAGACGACGGCGACAAAUCCUGCUGUUUUCGAUUGUGUGCCAUCUGGUGGUGACAAUUACUGGCAGCCUCUCCCAUUCCAGCUCUAUACGUGCAGCAGGGAAUUCGCCCAGGACACCGGCUUCAGCUUUAGCAGUGACUGCAUACUGUUGGCAUUCUGGACCCCAAGCAACCUUGGCCUGAAAAAGGACAGUUGUGUUCAAAGGUUGGUAUUGAUGACAAUUAUUUCACUUGAGAAAUUUAUUUCGAUAAUUGUUCUAAAACUUUUUUUUUUUUUUUUUUUUUUUUAAAUCACACAAGUCUUUUCGGUCUUACAGUGACUUUGUGCUUGCUCAGCAGGGCACCGUCAGCACAGAUCUUCAGGUUGUCAUUUUCAGCGAUGGAGGAAAUGACGAGCUGCACUCUUGCAGUUGGCUUGUCAAAGUAAGCUGCAAGUUGGUAGCCCAGCAGCUUGUGGUCAACUCUCACAGCACGGGCAAUGACAGCAAAAACAGGUGGAAUACCAUUUCCGAGGAACUUAGCCUGAAAUAAAAAAACAUAAUCAAUUAA